CGCAGCCCCACUCGAGUCCUUCCCCUGAGGACUGCAGCCGGUGUCGGGCGUGCACUCACUGAGGGGCAGUAAGUGGAGCGACCCGGCCCCAGCCUGCUCCGCUCCGCCGGCUCCCAGCUUCGCCACCGGUAUGCAACAACAAAAAUCUACAUUUAUAAGUUGCGCUUUCACAGUAAAGAGAUUGCACUACAAUACUUGUGUGAGUUUGACACCCCAUAAAUGACUAGAAAUUUGGCAAGACAAUGGAAGAAAUAAUGCCUCAUAAAGAUAUGGAUUGUUUCUGUAUGACCAACGCUUACUGAUGCCAACUCAUCGUAGCUAACACAGAAUGGAUAAAAAACUGUUUGUCUAAAAAAGGAUUUCAGUCAUUUGUCAGUUUCCCUAAAAUCAGUGUAAGCUCUCUUAACCCCAUGCCCUGUUUUUUUUCAUAUUAACCUUUUAAAUGUUUAGGAUCGUUUAAUUUUUUUUAAAAUGUAUGCUAUUAAAAACAGAAUGUUUAGCAAAAGGAUAUGGAGAAGCUGUCACUUAGGUUUUUUUUUAAAAAAAAGCUCGGGAGCAGAGGAUGUAGAGGGGGUGGACAUGUCUCAUGAGGGAACGGUAGUAGUUAACGGCUCCCAGUGUCUGAUGCUACAGCUAUUAUUUCUGUCCUUCAUGCAGUUACAAAGCUAUGGCUUUUUCUUUUGAAAUGUGGUUAUUUUUAAAACCCCUCUCAAAAUUUGUAUAUUUCUUCCCAAUUUACAAACAAUGAGCCGAUUUAGAAUCCUACAUCUUAGCUCUGUAAAUAGCCUUUAGAAAGUUUUUAUUUGGUUGUGGGUUUUUUGCAUGCUGAGCAAUUCAUUUAGGCAAAACUUUAAAAACAAGCUAAUGCUAUUUUUUUUUUUUUAAAAAAGCUUGGGAUAGUAUCUCUUUGAAAACAUUGUACUGUAAUUUUUAUUUCACUAGACCUCUUCCUCUUUGGUUAAGAUAAACCUGAAAAUGUUUAUGCACGUGUGUAAAGUUAUUCACAUGCAUGUCC